rnacentral:tRNA from 2 species
GGGCCGCUAGCUCAACUGGCAGAGCGGCGGACUCUUAAUCCGCGGGUUCCGGGUUCGACUCCCGGGCGGCCCUCCA